rnacentral:lncRNA from 1 species
UUUUAUCUUUAUUUAUUUCUCACAAAGGCUACCUGUAUUUAUUAAGCAGUUUCAAUUUUAUCGUACAUCAAGUCUUUUGUUAUGUUAAUUUCAAUUACAUUAAAUUUCUGGUCGAGUGAUCAUUUACCACGUGCGAUUUGUUAAAGGGAUGUGUAGUUCAUUCAUAAAAAAAAAUGGAUUAAUGAUUUUGAUUCCCAAUAAGAGUUAAUUUCAAAGAUA